GAUAAAUCUCAAAACUAUAUCACUGAUUUGUUUCUCUCAAGGGAGGGAAACAGGAUGACUAGGACUCAGAGGUGAGAAGAGUAUUUUUACUUUUUUAUGCUUUUAGAAGCUAAACUUGGUACCAAGUAAGCAUAGUUCUUUAAAAAAAAUUACAAUAAAUUCAAUUAUUCAGUAAAUUCACUUGAAUUAUAUAAAGGAUGUAGAAGGCUGGUCGAGGACAAAUCAUUUUUUUAAAGUUUAAAAAGCAGACACAAUGAAGAGCAACCAGCUCUCCUCUGCUCCCCUCAUGGUUUUGACAAACCAGACUGUUCAGAGUUUAACUCAGAGGCCAGACUCCCGCACUUGUUUCUAAACCUGAGCCACUGCAUUGGCUGGAAACCAAAGCUCUUGCUUUUCUUUCAUUUUUGCUUCUGGCAAUAAAGACAACAGGGGAAGAAAAAUCUAGCGAAGACCAGGGAGAGAUGAGAACCAGUGAGAGAUGAGCUGGCAGAGGCUGGGCCCUUGGAGUCCUUUCAUGGCUGAAGGCAAACAGCUUGUGUGCCAGCAGCUCCUGCUCUCGGCAGCUUCUCUGGAAACUCCAGCAACCUGCCGCUGAGCUGAUCUUAUCAGCUGUUCUCCUUAAGCUUGUUUACUUCCUUCUGUCAGAAAACUUGCACAAUAUGCUGGCUGAGUUAGAACAAGGCACUUUGCUGAAAUGUUUAUACAUUGUCAUAAUAAAUCUGCUGAUGUCUACACUGUGACCUGCUCAGAUCUCUAAGCCCUGGUGUUUCUGAGUUCAGCUCUGUAGGUGAUGUGUCUUGAGCCCUUCCAAUGGGAGGAUAAGGGCUGAGCUUGAAUGCUUAGUCAACCGGCCCUCAGAUGGCUAGCUCAAUCUCUUCUCUCAUUAGUAAGUCCCUCUUCUUUGCCUCCCACUAGCUGAGAUUUUUGCUUCCCACUGGAGGCUCAGCUAGGCUUCAGAUUUCUUAGAGAAGUUCAUGGAGAAUUAAAUCCUCCUUUUCUUACUCCAUUGAAUGUCUACUGAAUAUCCUAACCUCGUGCUGGUAUCUCGUGAUCUCUAAGGCCUAGAGUCACUCUAUCUAUACCCCUAAGGUCAGGACAAGGUGGCCCCCCCGGGCCUGCUCACAGUUCCAACCUGUGCAGGAGCCGGCUCUUGCUUCUAUCAAGGCCCAUGUGCCUUCUAAUUGGGUUGGUGUUCUUGUUUCCUGAGUGUCUGAGCGCUGGAGGUGAUCUUGAACCUGAGACAGAGAAAGUUGAAUGUCUCAGGAAGGAGAUGUCAAAAAACUCCAGGUGACCUUGAAAUGUCUCCACCCCAUUUUCCUCCCUCAUUCCAUUUAAAAUCUUUGUCAUUGUCAUUCUUGGAGUUCAUGGCAUUGGAGGUAGGCAGGAUCCUAAAGUAAACCCCAGCGACUCUCACUCUUACAUAAUCUCUUCCCCUCCGAAUGCAGUUGGAUCUGUGAUUGUUAUGUUAUGUGGCAAAAAGGAGAUGAUCCAGGUGGGCUUAAUUAAUCACAUGAGCUCCUCAAAAGCAGAGAGUUUUUUUCCAGCUGGCUGCAGAGGACAAAGUUAUAGAAAUCCUAAACAUACAUAGGGUUGAUGUACAAUUGCUGGCUUGACAAUGGAGGGGGCCACGUGGCAAGGAAUGAGGAAAACCUCUAGAAACUGAGCAGUGUCAUCCCUCUCCCACCUGCUGCUGCUGAGAGCCAGCACGGAGAUGGCACUUCAGUCCUACAGCUACCAGGAGCUGAGUCCUACUGACAUUCUGAAUGAGCUUGGCAGCUAAUGCUUCCCCAGAGCCUCCAGUUGUGAGCAAGCCCAGACUGGCUGACACCGUGAUUUGGCCUUCAGAGACCUGGAUCAGAAGACCCAGUUCAGCCCGCCCAAACUUCUGACCUACAGAACUGUGAAAUCAUACAUGAGUGUUAUGUUAAGCUGCUAAAUUUGUGGUGUCUUGUUACACAGCAGGAGAAAAUCUUCCUCUCGCUUUAUGGUGCAUUUCAGCUUUCCUUUCUUAGAGAAGCUCUGGGGGGAGCAGCAACCCAGAGGGGUGUGAGCUGUGAGCUCUGAUAGCCUCUCUAAGGAAGAAUGCGAUAAUGACGAGCAGAUAAUACUUACUGAGCACCUCUUCUGCCGCAGGUAUUAUUUCAAGCACUUUGGAUUCCUUUAAUCCAACCACAAUCCCAUGAGGUUGUAUGAUUGUUAUCACCAUUUUACAGUUGAGAAAACUGAGGCACAGCCAGGUGAGGCUGCUUUUCUGAGGUUGUGGAUUUAGGCAGUGGUGGAGCCAGAAUUCCCACUUCAGCGGUCUGGCUGGAGGGUGUGGACACUUAAACUCUACCCAGAAAAUCUUUAUCCGAGUCAAAAUUCCUUUUGGGGAGUUCCCAUGGUGGCUCAGCAGGUUACGAACUCAACUGGUAUCCAUGAGGAUGUGGGUUCAAUCCCUGGCCUUGCUUAGUGGGUUAAGGAUCCGGUGUUGCCAUAAGCUGCAGUGUAGUUUGCUGAUGCAGCUCAGAUCUGGCGUUGCUGUGGCUGUGGUGUAGCCCAGCAGCUACAGCUCCAAUUCAACCCCUAGCCUGGGAACUUCCAUAUGCCCCAGGUACAGCCCUAAAAGGGAAAAAAAUUCCUUUUGAGAAAACUUAAUAGAGUGCAUGCAUCCUUAUGAAUCCCAGGCCUCCUGAACAUGCUCUCUACCACCUGCAUAGCGACUGACCCCCGGUCUUCUUAGAGCUGCCCUGAUCUCCAGAAAAAGUUUGGGUCUCCUGCACCUCCAACAGUGGUAGAGAGAGAGUCUUAAGUGAUUUUCUUGUGUCAGGAGUAUCCUUGAGCAGCUUUCUGUGUUAAAUUGAGAGAGAAAAGUCUCAGAAGUUUUACAGCUCACGCAGACUCCCAAGGGCAGCUAGGCUAGCCCAGGAAGGAGAAACAAUUGGUCAAGGAACAAAGGAGAAAGUGAGAAAGUAGUGGGAUUGGAGGAUCUCAGAAGCUUGCCACUGCUCGGACCUGCAUCUUGAGAUUCUGAGGGACACCACUCCCACUGCCCAGGUGGGGAGAGCCAACUCUGCCCAGGCCAGUGGUCCAAAGUAAGAAACCUCCUUGAGGUCCCAGAGCAGGGUUCCUAUCUCUGGCUGGAGAGACACCCUAAGACCGUAGAUGUUUAGACAUGAUAGUGCAGGAGCAAAAUGACAGGCCGUGGCUUUUCCCACUAACUCUUCAGCUGCCACCACCCAAGGACUUGGUGGGGCAGGGUUGUUAGAUUACUUCCUGUGAACAACCUCAGGUCUAGUUGCAUGAGUCUCCUUCCUGGUGAGAGAGCAACCACAUCAAAACAUCUCUUGUAGCUCCAGGCUCUAGCAGUGUUUCGUUAUAUACAGGUGGCAAAUUUGAGGUUCAGUUUCAUUUCAGAGUCCAUUCAUGCCUGCCAUAGGAGGUAAGUUUUAUUAAGAUUCCCUCAAGCAGCCCAAAGAUGUCCUUGCUUCUGUUUGUGGAUAAGGCUUUAAGAGCCAUUUUAAAAAUGGAGAAUACUCUUUGUGGCUGGCGUUGGGAGUUGCCUGCCCCGUGUCCAUUCUUGCUUCUUCCCCACUAAAGGACCCCACUUUUGUUCAGAACAGUAAUGCACCCAGCUAAGUGUAUGCACCCUCCUAGAUUCCUUUGCUCAUAGGGGUUUAUGUGUGACACCGUUUUGGACCAUGAAAGUCACUGAACAGGGCUUCUGGGAGAGAUGGUUAAAAGGGGAUCUUGUCUUCAGCCUUCUGUCCCUUCCUUUCAUGCCUGAGAAGGAGUACUGCUUAUGAUGCCUGAUGGUGAGGUGACAAGAUAGAGGACUUCUCCCUCCCUCUCUCUCUCUUUUCUCUGCUCUCUCCUUUCCUCUCUGUCACAAUGUCUUGUUUCCAUUGUACGUUUUCUGCCCAUGAAAUAGCUGCUGAUGCUUAUGGAGAAAACGCUGGGAUUCACCCUCCUAUUACACCUUCCAGACUGUCACUUAAAGAGCAUGAAUGCUGAAGAGAGCCACAAGAUCGAAGGAGACUCUGCAGAGAGGGCAGAUGUGGCAGCAUGAAUGACUGCUGAUGACACGUGACCAGAGAGAGAUCCGGUCCUGGGCCUGGCCAUGUUGAAGACCCUGGAAAUAAGACAUGACCUUCACAUGAAGUUAGUCCCAGGAAUAGCUAACUAAGGUUAAAUUCUCUGUGAGCUCAAAUCAAAAUUACAUCAAUUUAUAGAAAAUAGGAGAGCUGAUAGACUUCAGAUGCUGCAGCUUUAAAAUUGUACACUUGUAUAGCCAUAUUUUGAGUGCCUGGUAUGCAGUAUAUCAAUGCAAUACUUAUUAGUGAAAAAAAAAUCACUGGACAAUCUAAUAGGAUCUACAAACCAAUAAAAGUUCAGCAAGAUUGCUCAUACCGGGAUAGAACAUGAUGGAAGAUAAUAUGAGAAAAAGAACAUAUAUAUAUAUUAUAUAUAUAUAAUAUGCAUGACUGGGUCAUUUGCUGUGCAGCAGAAAUUGGCACAACAUCAUACAUCAAUUAUAUUUUAAUAAAAAGAUUUCUGGGUACAAGAUGAAUAUAGAAAAAUCAGUUGGGUUCUAGACACCUACAACAAACAGUCAUAAAAAUUAUUUUUAGAAAAUAUAUUAUUUAUGAUAGGAACAAAUUCUCUAAGUUAUCUUGGAAAAAAUAAAAAGUACGUGAGACUUUAAUGGAGAAGGCUAUCUUUUCUUUCUUUCUUUUUUUUUUUUUUUUUAAGGGCAGCACCCAUGGCGUAUGGAGGUUCUCAGGCUAGGGGUUGAAUUAAAGCUAGAGUCACUGGCCUGCACCACAACCACAUGCAUGACAGAUCCAAGCCGCAUCUGCGACCCACACCACAGCACAUGGCAACGCUGGAUCCUUAUCCCACUGAGCGAGGCCAGGGAUCAAACCUGCGUCCUCAUGGAUACUAGUCGGAUUUAUUUCUGCUGAGCCAUGACAGCAACUCUGAGAAGACUAUUUUUUAAAAAAGAAAACUAUAUUAUACAAUAACAUUAUUUUUAUUUUAUUUUAUUUUUUUUAUUUUCCCACUGUACAGCAAGGGGGUCAGGUUAUCCUUAGAUGUAUACAUUGCAGUUACAAUUUUUUCCCCCACCCUUUCUUCUGUUGCGACAUGAGUAUCUAGACAUAGUGCUCAAUGCUAUUCAGCAGGAUCUCCUUGUAAAUCUAUUCUAGGUUGUGUCUGAUAAGCCCAAGCUCCCUAUCCCUCCCACUCCCUCCCCCUCCCAUCAGGCAACCACAAGUCUCUUCUCCAAGUCCAUGAUUUUCUUUUCUGAGGAGAUGUUCAUUUGUGCUGGAUAUUAGAUUCCAGUUCUAAGUGAUAUCAUAUGGUAUUUGUCUUUGUCUUUCUGGCUCAUUUCACUCAGGAUGAGAUUCUCUAGUUCCAUCCAUGUUGCUGCAAAUGGCAUGAUGUCAUCCUUUUUUAUGGCUGAGUAGUAUUCCAUUGUGUAUAUAUACCACAUCUUCCGAAUCCAGUCAUAUGUCGAUGGACAUUUGGGUUGUUUCCACGUCCUGGCUAUUGUGAAUAGUGCUGCAAUGAACAUGCGGGUGCACGUGUCUCUUUUAAGUAGAGCUUUGUCCGGAUAGAUGCCCAAGAGUGGGAUUGCAGGGUCAUAUGGAAGUUCUAUGUAUAGAUUUCUAAGGUAUCUCCAAACUGUUCUCCAUAGUGGCUGUACACAAUAACAUUCUUAUCAAAAGCCCAAUUGAGUUUUUCAAGCAACUUAACAAAUUGUUUUUAAAAUUUAAAUAUAAAAGUAAAAGGCCUAGAAUAACCAAGAAAAAAUUUGAGAAGAAUAACAUGGGGGCUUACUUUACCAAAUAUCAAUAUUCGUUACAAGGCUAGAGUUAUUAAGACAAUGCAGUAUUUAUAUAGGAAUUUUAAAAAAAGGACCAGUGGAAGAAGGUUGAAAGUUCAGAAACAGAUUGCCUCCCAUUUAAACGCCAAAGAUGACAGGGGCACGAAAAAUUAGUGGAGGAAAAAUGGACUCUGAUCAACGGCGCUGGACAAUUGGUUAUGCAUGGGCAGUGGGAAUUAAAUUAUAUCCCCAAUUCAUGCCAUCACCAAAAAGACAUGAAAGAUUGUUAGAGACAUGAAUAUAAGAAACAAACGUUUACAAGUCUUAAAGAAAAUAUAGACUAUAUUUGUGGCUUUGGGGUAGAGAAGUUUCUUGAACAAGAUAGAAAAAGCCCAAAUCAUAAAGGAAAAGACUAAUAUAUUUGCUUAAGUGAAAAAAAAAUCUACACACCAAAGAAACCAUAAGGACUGGCCUGCUCAGGCUGGAUGCCACCCUGGCCAUGGUACUCAAAGGCAAUGUCAGGAGGGCCACAGGCAGGUGCUGUCGGCAAGGCCUGUCUCAGGACCAGCAUCCUACAGAUGAGGCUGCCCUGGAAUGCAUAACAGAGUGGAAGAGAGCAGCCUGCUCUCUGGGAAGCUCAGCUUAUAGGUCGGGGAGGUAGCCCUUCUCUAUGCGAAAUGUAGCUAUGUGAUUGAAUGCCCCCCCCCAUAUUAUUUGCAGAGAUAUAGAAAAGUUAAUUUUAUCACUUUGGGCUACAGAAUGCCUCCGAUUUCAAAGUUCUUACCCAAGCCAGAUUUCACCUUCGUCUUUUAUGGACCCAAGGGAUAGUCGCUAACCACCUUCCUACCCCACAUUAUUUAUUGUAACCUAAGGCAUUGUGUGUUUAUUUUUUAUUUUUUAAAUGAAUUUUAUUACAUUUAUAGUUGUACAACGAUCAUCGCAACCCUCCUGGCAUCGUGUGUUUAUUCGGAACAGGAACUAUCCCCAAACUGAUCCAUCAUGCAGGCACUAGUCAUGUCUGAAACUUCCUAUCUUAGCGCCUGGAAUAAAACUUAAGUUUAAUACACCUGUGUGAAAUCUAAAUGACUAUCGUAUUAAAGAGUCUGUUAAAAAGUUCUUAUAGGAGUUCCCGUCGUGGUGCGGUGGAAAGGAAUUUGACUAGUAUCCAUGGGGACGUGGGUUCCAUCUCUGGCCUCACUCGGUGGGUUAAGGAUCCAGCAUUGUUGUGAGCUGUGACAUAGUUCGCAGAUGCAGCUCAGAUCUGGCAUUGCUGUGGCUGUGGUGUAGGCCUGUAGCUGUAGUUCCGAUUUGACUCCUAGCCUGAUAACUUCUAUAUGCCAUGGGUGCAGCCCUAAAG
rnacentral:lncRNA from 1 species